UGGGGAAUAUUGCACAAUGGGCGAAAGCCUGAUGCAGCGACGCCGCGUGAGUGAUGACGGCCUUCGGGUUGUAAACCUCUUUCAGCAGGGACGAAGCGCAAGUGACGGUACCUGCAGAAGAAGCACCGGCUAACUACGUGCCAGCAGCCGCGGUAAUACGUAGGGUGCAAGCGUUGUCCGGAAUUACUGGGCGUAAAGAGUUCGUAGGCGGUUUGUCGCGUCGUUUGUGAAAACCAGCAGCUCAACUGCUGGCUUGCAGGCGAUACGGGCAGACUUGAGUACUGCAGGGGAGACUGGAAUUCCUGGUGUAGCGGUGAAAUGCGCAGAUAUCAGGAGGAACACCGGUGGCGAAGGCGGGUCUCUGGGCAGUAACUGACGCUGAGGAACGAAAGCGUGGGUAGCGAACAGG
rnacentral:rRNA from 1 species